rnacentral:tRNA from 1 species
UGUCAAGGGAUGGGAAUCGAACCCACGACCUUCCGAUUACCGGGCAGAUGCCAUGACCACUAGGCUACCCUGGAC